CGUCUCUGCUCUGGCUCCCGCAUGAUGGUGGCCGCGCUGGGUCCGUGGCUGUUGGCCUUAGCCUUGGCCUUGGCUUCGACAGGGGUGUGGGCGCAACCCAGGCUGGAGGAGACCGGCGGAGGGCUGCGAGCGCCCGGGGACUCCGUGCUCCUCUCCUGCCGCGGAUACGGCGUUAGAUUCGACAGUACCGGAGUUUGGUGGUACCGUCAGGCACCCGGAGGCACACUCGAGUGGGUGUCCUACAUCAGCUUUGAUUCUUCAGUCACUAAAUUUGCGCAGUCCGUGCAGAGUCGAGCUAAUGUCUCCCGGGACAAUUCCCGGUCUGUGUCAUCCCUGUUCCUGCGUGCCCUGCAGCCUCAGGACUCUGCUCGCUACUUCUGCACAGUAUAUUCACACGGAGACAGGAAAAGCAGCUGAGCUUUAACAGAAACAUGCUGAGCCUGCCCAGGGUGCAAAAGCUGUGGGACGGGUGAGUGCUGCAACGUCGAGCGCCAGGAGCAUCCUUUUCCCGCGAC